rnacentral:rRNA from 1 species
UACAGAGGGUGCAAACGUUGCUCGGAAUCAUUGGGCGUAAAGCGCACGUAGGCGGCCCAGCAAGUGGGGAGUGAAAGCCCUCGGCUCAACCUCGGAACUGCGUCUGAAACUACUCGACUAGAGUACUGGAGAGGGUAACGGAAUUCACGGUGUAGCAGUGAAAUGCGUAGAUAUCGUGAGGAACACCAGAGGCGAAGGCGGUUACCUGGACAGUUACUGACGCUCAGGCACGAAAGCAUGGGGAGCAAAAGGG